rnacentral:rRNA from 1 species
UACGUAGGGUGCGAGCGUUGUCCGGAAUUAUUGGGCGUAAAGAGCUCGUAGGCGGCUUGUCGCGUCGAAUGUGAAAACUCGGGGCUCAACUCCGAGCUUGCAUUCGAUACGGGCAGGCUAGAGUUCGGUAGGGGAGACUGGAAUUCCCGGUGUAGCGGUGGAAUGCGUAGAGAUCGGGAAGAACAUCAGUGGCGAAGGCGGCCUGCUGGGCUGUUGCUGACGCUGAGGCGCGACAGCGUGGGGAGCAAACGAGG